rnacentral:rRNA from 1 species
UCCUACGGGAGGCAGCAGUGGGGAAUAUUGGACAAUGGGCGCAAGCCUGAUCCAGCCAUGCCGCGUGAGUGAUGAAGGCCCUAGGGUUGUAAAGCUCUUUUAGCAGGGAAGAAGCGAAAGUGACGGUACCUGCAGAAAAAGCGCCGGCUAACUACGUGCCAGCAGCCGCGGUAAUAAU